rnacentral:rRNA from 1 species
GUGCGUAGGCGGCUUUUUAAGUUUGGUGUGAAAUCUCCCGGCUCAACUGGGAGGGUGCGCCGAAUACUGAGAGGCUAGAGUGUGGGAGAGGAAAGUGGAAUUCCUGGUGUAGCGGUGAAAUGCGUAGAUAUCAGGAGGAACACCGGUGGUGUAAACGGCUUUCUGAACCAUAACUGACGCUGAGGCACGAAAGCGUGGGUAGCAAACAGGAUUAGAUACCCUGGUAGUCCACGCCCUAAACGAUGCAUAUUUGGUGUGGGCCAUUCAUUUGGUCUGUGCCGGAGCUAACGCGUUAAAUAUGCCGCCUGGGGAGUACAGUCGCAAGGCUGAAACUCAAAGGAAUUGACGGGGGCCCGCACAAGCGGUGGAGCGUGUGGUUUAAUUCGACGCGACGCGAAGAACCUUACCUGGGCUUGACAUGUGAGUGACGAGUGUGGAAACACACUUUCCCUUCGGGGCACUUUCACAGGUGGUGCAUGGCUGUCGUCAGCUCGUGUCGUGAGAUGUUGGGUUAAGUCCCGCAACGAGCGCAACCCCCGUUCCCAGUU